AGACGAACCGUCCGAACGUUAUUCGGUAUCACUGGGCUUAAAGCGUGCGUAGGCGGCCUGGUAGGUGAGAUGUGAAAGCCCACGGCUCAACCGUGGAAUUGCGUUUCAAACCACCAGGCUGGAGGAUGGCAGGGGUGAUGGGAACUGAUGGUGGAGCGGUGAAAUGCGUUGAUAUCAUCAGGAACACCGGUGGCGAAGGCGCAUCACUGGGCCAUUUCUGACGCUGAGGCACGAAAGCUAGGGUAGCGAACGGGAUUAGAUACCCCGGUAGUCCUAGCUGUAAACGAUGAGCACUGGGUUGAGGGGACUUCCACAUCCUCUCGGCCGUAGCGAAAGCGUUAAGUGCUCCGCCUGGGGAGUAUGGCCGCAAGGCUGAA
rnacentral:rRNA from 1 species